GAUAGGUUUUAUUUACGCUUUUAGGUUCAAUUUUUUUUUGUAAUAUAUGCGUGAUUUAGAUUGUUUUUUCGCAGUAUUUAGAUUUUUAUAUUGGAUAGGUCUUGAUUGAGCAAUAAAAAUUAAUUUUAACAAAAUUUGUGCCAGCAGUUGCGGUUAUACAAAUAAUGUAAUUGAACUUUAUUAGAAAAAAUUAAAUUUUAAUUUUUUAGAUAUUAAUUUAACUUUUAAGGUAGAAUUUUAAGUUAAUAAAAGUCUAUUUUAUGAUUAUUUUAAAUUUUUUUUAUAAACUAGGAUUAGAUACCCUAUUAUUUUUAAUGUAAAUUAUUUUUUGAUUAGUAUUAGUUAUUUUCUUGAAAAUUAGAUGAUUUGGCGGUAUUUUAUCCAUUCAGAGGAACCUGUUUUUUAAUCGAUGAUCCACGAUAGAAUUUACUUGUGUUUUUGGUUUGUAUAUCGUCGUUUUUGAAAAUUUUAUUAGAUAAUUUUCUUAAGGCUGGAAGGCAGAAGGUCAGAUCAAGGUGCAGCUUAUAUACAAGUUAAAAUGGGUUACAAUAAUUUUAGUUAUAUGAAUUUUUGUUUUGGAUAAUAAAUUGAAGGUGGAUUUGAAAGUAAAUUUUUUAUUUUAAUUAAUUGAUAUGGGGAUAGAAUAUGCACAUAUCGCCCGUCGCUCUCAAGAAUUUUGAGAUAAGUCGUAACAGAGUAGGUGUACUGGAAAGUGUACCUGGAUUGUA
rnacentral:ncRNA from 1 species